UCUGACUUGAGCAGAGAAUUUUGCAUGGGCAAGUCGGUGAUAUGCGCCUACAUAUGGGCUUAGCGGACAUCCGGUCUUACUUAGAAACUAGCAAAACUCUCCUCCUUCCUUUAUAUUACCCACCAAAUGAUAAAAGCCUUCGUGUUUUUCCUUGUGUCUCCCCUUGCUGUGAAAGUCCACCUUCGUUUACACACCCUCUCUUGUACCCUUGCCAAGAAAAAUCUCACGUACUCACCUAAAACUAUCACUAUUAGCUUCCGCAAAACCAUCAUACCUGAAUUUAGAGAUGAAAGGUUUGUUCUCGAGGUAAGUGUUGCUGAUAUUUUUGAAGUGUACUGUGCAUAUGUAUUGGCUCCCUGAGCACCACAGGGGCUUUUUAUGAUAUUCAUGGCAAUCGUCCCAUGUACUUGCCUCGUCGACUUGACCCAGGGAAGUUGGUGCCACAAGCAUUUCAUUCACUCUGCCUGAACCGCCAUCUCAAUGGAAGGGUUCACUAAAUGAGGUUUCCAUGCAGUUCAUUUCCAUUCUUUAGCGCUUUCUCCGUCCCUUCAGCUGAAUAUUAAAAUCCCAUCCAUUUCACCAUCAUUUUCCUAUCAUGGCUCUUUUACAACUAAAGGUCGAGUUUAGUAGUGAGUAUUUAGAUUUAAAUGUACAAGCCAUCUCCAAAAUUAGCUAGUGGCUAAGCUAACAAAAUUCACAUCACGUUUUAUUUUAUUUUUCCCAAAACAAUAUGUAGUUCAUGAGAAUUCCUCAAAAUAUUGGGUUAAAAGCCUUGAGAUAAAAAGCAACUAAUCUAUUAUAACAUUGUGGAG
rnacentral:lncRNA from 1 species